rnacentral:rRNA from 1 species
UGCCAGCAGCCGCGGUAAUUCCAGCUCCAAUAGCGUAUAUUAAAGUUGUUGUGGUUAAAAAGCUCGUAGUUGGAUCUCGGCGGACUGAGGGCGGUUUGCUUGCUAGUAUUACUGCCCUAUAGUCCGUAGUUUUGCCAGAGGUUUCGGGGUGCUCUUAAUCGAGUGUCCCGGGAUGCUGGCAGGUUUACUUUGAAAAAAUUAGAGUGCUCAAAGCAGGCUAUUACGCCUGAAUAUUCGUGCAUGGAAUAAUAGAAUAGGAUGUCGAUCCUAUUUUGUUGGUUUUCGGGACUCGACAUAAUGAUAAAUAGGGACAGUCGGGGGCAUUUGUAUUCAAACGACAGAGGUGAAAUUCUUGGACCGUUUGAAGACAAACUACUGCGAAAGCAUUUGCCAAGAAUGUUUUCAUUAAUCAAGAACGAAAGUUAGAGGUUCGAAGGCGAUUAGAUACCGCCCUAGUUCUAACCAUAAACGAUGCCAGCUAGCGAUCUGCCUGCGUUUUUACUGUAGACUGGGCAGGAAGCUUCCGGGAAACCAAAGCAUUUGGGUUCCAGGGGAAGUAUGGUUGCAAAGCUGAAACUUAAAGGAAUUGACGGAAGGGCACCACCAGGAGUGGAGCCUGUGGCUUAAUUUGACUCAACACGGGAAAUCUCACCAGGCCCGGACACUGGAAGGAUUGACAGAUUGAUAGCUCUUUCUUGAUUCGGUGGGUGGUGGUGCAUGGCCGUUCUUAGUUGGUGGAGUGAUUUGUCUGGUUAAUUCCGAUAACGAACGAGACUCUGUCCUGCUAAAUAGUUUCUACUUCUCUUUUGAGUAGAAAUUUCUUCUUAGAGGGACUGGUGACUCUUAGUCACACGAGAUUGAGCAAUAACAGGUCUGUGA